rnacentral:rRNA from 1 species
AUGGGGAAGACGACGACGGCGGCUGCGGAAGUCGACCCCAACGAAGGCGGAUCCUCCUCAACAUCCCAGGCUCCUCCUCCUUCAGGGCGCUGGCUACCUUUCAGCAGCAGCAGAGGCGGCGAGGAGGAGCUGGGUCGCCUGGACGAAGAAGAAGAAAUCAGCGAGGAGGAGCAGGUGGGCGGCAUAGCAGGUGGGCGGCGGCGCUGGGCCCUGCGGUGGAUGCACUGGUCACCUCGGUGCACGGCGGUGGAGCAACGGCGGCCGGGGGUCUUGCCCAACUCCUGCAGCAGAGUGGCUGGCCUUGGCGAGCCGGGGUUGCGGCCGGGGAUGCGAGAAGGACAACGAGUAGAGCCGACUGUGAGCCGUGGAAUCGCCGCCUGUCGAGGUGUCGCUGCGGAGGAGCAGCUGGGCGGCGGCGAAGCUCGCCUCCGCAGCGCAGCUAAGCAGGGGCGGCGCAAGAUGGCAGCUGCGGGACAGGUGGGCGGCGGCGCAAGUGGGACUUCGUCCUGGCUGAUCCUACGGCGGCUGGGGCACGCGGUGCCCGUGGGCAACAAGGGGAGGCGGAGGCUGGGAAGGACCGAUUAG